GAGUUUGAUCAUGGCUCAGAUUGAACGCUGGCGGCAUGCUUUACACAUGCAAGUCGAACGGUAACAGGCCGCAAGGUGCUGACGAGUGGCGAACGGGUGAGUAAUGCAUCGGAACGUGCCCAGUCGUGGGGGAUAACGCAGCGAAAGCUGCGCUAAUACCGCAUACGAUCUAUGGAUGAAAGCGGGGGACCGUAAGGCCUCGCGCGAUUGGAGCGGCCGAUGUCAGAUUAGGUAGUUGGUGGGGUAAAGGCUCACCAAGCCGACGAUCUGUAGCUGGUCUGAGAGGACGACCAGCCACACUGGGACUGAGACACGGCCCAGACUCCUACGGGAGGCAGCAGUGGGGAAUUUUGGACAAUGGGCGCAAGCCUGAUCCAGCAAUGCCGCAUGCAGGAAGAAGGCCUUCGGGUUGUAAACUGCUUUUGUACGGAACGAAAAGGCUCUGGAUAAUACCUGGGGCUCAUGACGGUACCGUAAGAAUAAGCACCGGCUAACUCUGUGCCAGCAGCCGCGGUAAUACAGAGGGUGCAAGCGUUAAUCGGAA
rnacentral:rRNA from 1 species